rnacentral:rRNA from 1 species
UACGGGGGGAGCAAGCGUUGUUCGGAUUUACUGGGCGUAAAGGGCGCGUAGGCGGUCGUGACAAGUCACUUGUGAAAUCUCCGGGCUUAACUCGGAACGGUCAAGUGAUACUGUCGGACUAGAGUACAGAAGGGGCAACUGGAAUUCUCGGUGUAGCGGUGAAAUGCGUAGAUAUCGAGAGGAACCCCUGCGGCGAAGGCGGGUAGCUGGGCCGACACUGACGCUGAGGCGCGAAAGCCAGGGGAGCGAACGGG